rnacentral:lncRNA from 1 species
UUAUUUCAUUAUUUACCCCCUUUUAGCCAAAAGAGAUCGUAAAGAUCUCACUUUUACAAAACCCCCAAUUUCCUUCCCUUAGAUUAGGAAUCUAGGGUGGCCGAAAAUCGCUUCCGCUGCUCUUCCACCUUCAACCACCGUCCACCUACCCAUUGAUCACCGUUGACCACCGGCUGAUAAUCAUCUCCGCCGGCCGGAGUUUAUGAAAUUGCCCCAAACCACAUUUGUUCUUCUCCUCCUCUACACCCUCUCGUUAAGAUCCAGUCCCAAUUCUUACCCAACCACCACCAGAAUCGAAAUCCUAGCCUGUUAUGCCUCUUUUCAAUUUUACUCACAACUGUUGAUCACAUGACCUUGAAGCCUACACCAUCUGAUAGAAUUCACAAAGAUAUAUGUAGUGGUGUUGGUAUUAGGUCAUUUCACGAUCAUCGGCGCCGAUCAACUCAUCGUUGACCGACCAAAAUUCAUGCAAUACCUUCGUCACCACACUCGUUUGACUCCCAUGAGUCUUUCUUCCAAGAAGAUCCAUCAGGAUUCUAAAUCCAAGACGGAUCUCUUGGCGGAAAGACCUUGGAGGUCGAACAAAUCAAUGUCUGCCACCUAUGUUCUUUUCGGGCUCCUCCUAAUCUUAAAUGGUAUAUCCUAAAUCUCCAGUUCUUUUCUUACUUAUCUUGCACUGUUUGAAUGUGAUCUCAUGCGACCAUGUGUUUUCCUGUCAUUCAAUUUGUUUGCACAUUGGGUAUUAGGUUUUCUUUCUAGUUAUGGUUUGUUUGUUCCAAAUUAGUUGAUGAAAUCAAAUUGCAUGUUAAUUGACAAGUCUGGUAAUUUUUUAUCUAAUUGUGUGCAUUUAAGAUAAUUUAAAUUAAGUAGCUUGAUUGAUUAUUAGCAGCGUGAUUAUUGUCUAACUUUUGUUUAUUUAAUCAUAUGUUUACUUGUAGAAUUUAUUUAGUUUGGAAGUUAAGUCAAGUAUUAGAUUUUGAUGGAAGGAUUUGGGAAUUGAAACUAGUAAGUUGGGCCUGUUUUGAACAUCGGGCAGGCCCUGUAAUAAUCAAUUGGGCAUUUUGACCUUCUGGGUCAAACAUGAGGAAGAUCUAAAAUCAUUUUGGCCUAUUAUUGGGAUCAGAUGAUGUAAGAAGUAUAAAGAAAGAGAGUAAAAGGGAGGAGUGAGAAAACAUAAGCUUUUAGAAGGGAAUGAGUAAGCUAAAAUAAAUAAGAGAUGGAUUUCGGGGCUAAUUUAGAAAAAUUACCGAGGUAAUCUUAGAGGAAGCGGCUAGGAAUGAACUUGGGGAAUUUGUUUGGCUAAAGUACAUGGGCUUCCUAGAAUUAAGGUCAGAAGAAGGAAAUGCGGGGGAGAGCGACAGCUGGUAAUAAUUCUAUUGUCCAGAGGGCAUAGAAUCCUCUAGAAAUAAUUAUAGGGGGUUAAAAAGGGAACAAACAAAAAAUAGAAAACCCUAGAGUUAGCCUAUAAAUAUACCCAUUCUCUCAUUUGAGAGGGAGGAACAAGCAUUUUUAGAAGAAGUUCUUUUAUUCUGAAAAAUCCUUAGGAGAAAAAGAGGAACAUCAGUAGUUUUUUUUUCUCUAAAACCCUGCUAUUCUUCUCUGGGUUUUUUGAAGUCGAGUUUCUUGGCUUGAAUUGGAUCAUGUGAGUCUAAAAUCAGGGUUUCAAGAUUUGGAUUCUUGCUGUUGAAGGUGUGUUUUGCUGAACUCCAUCCUUUCUUGCCUUGAUUUGGCACCUCUGGUUUUGCUUGCUCUUGCUCAUUAGGUAAACACAUGGCACUUUGUAGAUAUAUUUAGUUGAAUGAUUAAAAGUAGUUGGUUAACUGAAUUUUCUGCCUGUUUCAUUUAAUUUUAAUCCUAUUUUUAUGACUAUGUGUGUUAUAGCUUUGGAUGAUUUGAAAUGAUAGUUGUUUAGCUCAUUAAAGCAUGCUAUAGAUGUAGUUAAGAUCAAUGAAAAUCAGUCAUUAAAAUAGCAUCAUGUCGAGCUCAAUUGAUUUCUCUCUCUAAUUGAUUUUGCUGUGCUUGUGCUUGAUUUAGUGAGCAUAUGAGUUUCUUUUGGAUGUUCUUUACUCAUUAAAAAUAGUUAUGGUGUUAUUUAGAUGUUGAGAUUGAAUGAGAGUCUACUGGAAUUAGAGUAAUUACUGUGAAGUGGACCUAGGAAGUGUUGGUUCUGAAAUAAAAUCCUAAUUAGCGUUUAACCAAGCUCAAAUAUCCAAGAGUACAAAAAUGGCUACUACUAUAAAUUAUUGAUUUUGAUUAGCUUAGCGUCAAGUACAAAAUGUUAUCUGCAAGUUGUUACACUCCGCAGUAUUACAACGAUGUUAUACUCCGUAGUAUUGUACGUUGGAUUUGUCAUAAAUUGACAUUAGUUUAAGGACAAGAUUAUUUUGAGGUUAUAAGUAUUACGUUAUUUCAAACAAGUGAUAAGUAAAUUCGUGAAGGUGAGAGGGUAAGCAAUUCGAAAAAAAUGAGUUUCGUCGAAGUUUGACAAUUUGGGAUAAAAUGCGGUCCAAACUAUAAUAUCCCGUAUUUAUGGACUAGUGCCAUACAAAGUACCAUAUGACCAUGAUAGUAAAGUGUAUAAAGUGUGUUAAAAGUAAUUAGUAUUUUAAGUAAUUUGAAAUAAUUCUUAAUUAUGUGGAUAAUUGGUAAUUUUUGAUUUUUAGUGGGUGAGUUAACAAGGUAAUUAAUUUUGGUGGAUAAGCUUAAAGGGACAUCACCCUCAACGUAGCAGCAAGGGGACUUAAGCAUCAAUGACUCUUUGGUGUAUAUAAUUAGGUGGCAUAUUUAGAGAUUUUUGGGAAAAAUAAUCCCCAAAAGUGGGCCCCACAAACUUCAAAGAUAAGAGAUAUUCAUACAUCAUUUAAGAGGGAUGUGCAUGUUGGUUAAGUAACGGAUGAAGCCUCCAAAAUAAUUCAUAUGGAACUUCAUAAUACUAUAGCAAUGUAAGAUUUGCGAUUCUAAGGAAAUACGGUGUAAUCUUUCUCAAGAAUAUCAUACGGAUUUUUUCCUAUUCCGAUCUCGCCGUUACUUGUUUCUUCGCGAUUGGCGUGUGUUAGAGUGAUUGUCAAGAGAAUCGGCUCAGGUAUGUUAAGACUAUCCCUUCUUUCCUUUUGGUAUGAUACAUACGAUACAAACGAAAUGAGCAAACGUACAUCUUUCAUAAAUACCUCUAUUCAUAGAAGCACUAGGGGUGCCUAUGUUCUUGAUUUCCCAUGUGUCUUAUUAUAUCUUCUGUUCAUGGGUCUCGAAAAAGAAAUGCGUAAUUGAUAAAGUUUAUCCGAAGACAUAUUGAUCUUAUGACAUUCCGAGAAAUCUUAUUAACUUAUUUCUUAUGCAUUUCAUUCAUUUAUACAUGUGCAUUGACGCAUGACCAGAUGACGUUAUAUAUGCGUAUAUUAUAUGUAUAUGGGAUAUUGAAAAAGGUUACGACAUUAUAUACGCACCACCAACUGAUCAGCUGUUAUACGUUGAUGAUUUUGCCUACAGUGGCCGAGAUGAUAUGAUGGGAUGCCCUCAGAGACUUGAUGAUGUUAUGUACGCAUAUACCUAUGCAUGACAUGACAUUUAUACGCACGUGCAUGGCAUUAUAAAUAUUUCAGGAUUCACAAAGUUAUUUAGACUUAUAGGUGGAAUUCUUUACUCCACGUUUCUUUUAUGUCUUUUAUGUACUUAUUUUCAUGCCUUACAUACUCAGUACUUUUUUUGUACUGACGUCCCUUUUGCCUAGGGACGAUGCGUUUCAUGCCCGCAGGUACCGAUAGACAAGUUGAGAAUCCUCCAAGUAGGCUAUCAAUUCAGUAGAAGGUGUUGGUGCACUUCAUUAGCUCCGGAAUUGCCUAUUUAGUUAGUAUGAUUUGGACAUGUAUGGAUUGGUAUAGCGGGGCCCUAUCUCGACCUUUAUGACAUUUAUGUACUCUUAGAGGCUUGUAGACAUAUGUCAUGUAUAUGGAUACUUGUAUGUCCUUGUAGGCCUAUGGUGUGAGUAUACAAAUGAUCAUGUCGGCCUUAUAGGCCCGUAUGUCAUAUGUAUAAGUCGGUACAUCACGUUGGGUCGUCCUAUGUCGAGUAUUUCCCUCAUGUUUUAUUCUAGUUAUGUCACGACAGCCCUUCCAGCUCAUUUACCUAUGAUAGUAUGAUACGACAGAUACGUUACGUUGGUACUCGGUUGAGUAAGGUACCGGGUGCCCGUCGUGGCCCAUCGGUUUGGAUCGUGACAAAAGUGGUAUCAGAGCAGUUCUGUCCUAGGAAGUCUACAAGUCGUGUCUAUAGAGUCUUAUUUAUGGGUGUGUUGUGUACCACACUUAUAAGCUGGAGGCUACAGGGUAUUUAGGACUGUCACUCUUUCUUCUUACUCUAGAUCGUGUGGUAGAGCUAACUUAUAAGAAUUCAAAUUCCUAAAUUCUAUUUUAUUCGUAGUAAGACGAUACCUACAUCCAAAGGAUAAUUAGUAAGAGGCUGCAUGUGGUUGUGGAAAAGUUGGGUUAGAGAAACUCGAUUUUGCCAUUCUUAUAAUGUAUAAAUGUGAGGUCUUCAGCAGAACAUGUGUAUACUAAGACGUGUAAGCUUCUUGAUAAGGAGUCUUAAGGCAAGAAUAUCUAUCCACCCAUAUGGUGAAAAGCAAUGAGAGAUUCAGAAGGUAGAUACAAGUUUCAACAAGUAAAAGAAUCAAGGUGAGGAAGGGUACGAGGCACCCAGUUAAUGAAAAUUAUCAGUAUUUACAAUUCAGGCAGAGAAAUAUAAGCAUUUUGAGUUAACUUCAAUAGUAACAGAUGUAUGUACAAUCGGCCACACUUAUCUCAGUUAUGCCCUAUGGGAGCUAACAGAUAUAGUUUAAGAGAAGGACGGGACAUCAGGAUCUGGCUGGGGUUAGAGUAACCCAAAAUGGUGGAUGGAUUGUUUACGUUAGUUGACAUUUCCGAAGGAUAUUGCAAAUGUGCUAAUAGAUCUCCUUGUGAGACACCCAGAUGGUGCACUCUAGAAUAGUAUAGCUAGAUAUGCAAAGAUAGGCAUCGAAAGUCGGAAGGGAUAAAUAUUACCUUAGUGUGGCUCCCGUCCCUAGUAGAGAGAGAAUGUUAGGUAACCCAAAGAGGUAGUGGAUGGAGCAAGAGGAGCUAAAAGGAAAAGAAUGUCUUGUUGAAGUUUUCAGAAUAAAGUGAUAGACAGAAAUAUUAGCAGGGAAAUAAGAAAAGAGAUAAUGAAGCAUUAUGAGUAAGAUGUGAUACAUGGAUGACAACGGUAGAUAAAAAAAAUGAUAGUAUUACAGAGUCUAUAGUCAAGUGAAGGAAAAGAUGAGAGGUGACAGGCCUUGAGACAACAAAAGAGUAUAGGCCAUAAUGUCAUAUCCUCAUUUUGAGAAAUAAGUUCGUGACUCCAACGCGACUACCAGAACGAAAAGUUAGACACCAGAGUAAUAGAAAUCAGUAUGAGCUGGUGAACAAGAUAAACUAAACAUGAAUUAAGGACUGAGUGAUUUGAUAAUAGUCGGCAUCAUGAGAAUUUCAGAGAUUGUGUUCCGGCGAUAAUAGAAUGGGCGACAGAAGAAUAACCUUUAAAGGUCAUUCAGGAAGACGCUUCCCUAAAGCAAGCAAUGUGAGCAAAGUUAAGCUUAAGGGACUAUGUGUGCCAGUUACACUAGGUGUCUCCCUCGUGAGUAAGGAAUUUUGUUGUCCUUGGUACAAAAGGAUUUCUGCAAGGCGAGUCAGGGUCAUCGAUGAUGUGAAAAGACGCCAAAGAUGAAGAGGUAAAAUAUCUAUACGUAGAUCAUCGUAGUACUAAAUCUUAGUACUCCCCUAAGGGGAGGGGGGGAUAUGGAGUGAUGUGGCAUUAAGUCAGAGUUAAGUGGUUCUAGAAACUAUGGAAUAAUAAAGGAAGAAUGCGAUAAAAAUGAGAAAGGGAGGAGAUUGCACUUAUUCAAACCCUACAGAUAUGCUACGAUCCCAUAACAUUAUACAAACACGGCGUCAAGGAGAAGAAGUAAGGGUUCCUAUGCGAGAUGUUAUUGAUAAAUAAGGAGCCAGUGCGAGAGGUAAGUUAAGGCAAAGGAAAUAACCCAAGAAAGAUUACGCGGAAUAUUGAUAUGAUAAUGGGCCAAUGAGUAGUUAGUAGUAAUUAAGGAAGAGCCUAAUUAUGGCUAGACAAGAGGAUACAAACAAAUCCACAGAUCGUGCAAGAUAAACAUAGUGAACCCCGACAUAGUUAAUUCAGUCUCGCAGAUAAUGAUAUCGUGAUCCUUAAAAAAUUUUCAAAUAAGAGUUGGGGUAGUUAAAUGCACUAGUUAAGUUUUACGAAAAUAAGAAAGAGUACCACUAAGGAGACAAUCAAAAUCUGAGUUCAGAAGUAAUCCUACGAGCACAAGGGUACAGAGGUAUGUAACUACGAAUAUUUAUAGGCGAGUAAGAACAUCGAAAAUUCCUUCGGGUAUACAAUAUAACGAGCAAUUUUACAAGAGUUAGAGGGUCUUCCCUAAGUACUACAACGAAAGACUAGCUGAGGAAAUAAGGAAGAAGGCUUCAACCUAAGCACAACGACCUAAAGAGGAAAUGGUCUUGUAAUAACAAUCUCACAACAACAUUGUAUGCACUCCAUAAGAAAGUGGCACCUAUCGUGGCUAAUGAACGGGAAGAAGAAAAAAAAUCAGAAGGUGAUAUUCAAGAUCAUAUGGCUUGUAUGGAAUUCCAAUAUGUGUGGGCACUAAGAUAAGCCAAGUAUUCAUGCAACAAGUGGCAGAACGACCAGGAAAAGUAAUUGCUUACAUUUAAAGAAAGUUGAGAAGGAACGAAAGGAAUUAUUUGAUCAAUGAUCCAGAGUUAGUUACGUUAUGAAUGCACUUAAGAUUUCGGAGUAUGGUAGAGAGACAAGGUUUUAGGAAGACAUGAGUAAGGAUAAGAAAAGGUGAGUGAGAAGGUGAUGAGAAUGGAUAAGUACUCGGGAUUAAGCCCAUGAAAACAAGAGCUCUGAUGGUUUCUCUAAGUUAUAGAAAGCUCAGUAUAACCUGAAUGAACUCAAAGGAGUCUAAGACUAGUAGCAUUUAGAAGAGAUGAAAUACUGCCCUGGUAGUAGAAUGAGGGUGUAAUUGUGAUAGAUAAAGGAUGAUGUUGGGCCUUCGAUUGAGUAAUGAUUUGAAGAAAAAAAAGGGAUUUCAUGAAUUAUAUAGGAUUAAAAUACCCCCAUAAGAUGAACCACGUAGGGAUGCCAUGAAAUGCGGUUAUUGAAGUAUAGUAUCGUCCCUAAGUGGAUCAGGAAAAUCACUUCAAAUAUUCCUCGAUGCAACGUGAGCCCUAGUGACAAUAUAUUACGUAAGAGGUUUCAAGUUAUCGGUGGUAGAUUGUAUAUCAAUAUUGAGGUGAAUCAACAAUAGAUGGAUAAAAGUUACAAAGUAUGAGAUGAUAUUAGGCCGUCAUUCUUAAGAUGAACAGUAAUGAGGAAGCAUUAAAGGACUUAGAUUUAUACAUAUAGGAUAAGCAAAGAGAGUAACCUGGAGUUUGGUAGCAGACCUUAGUAACGGUAAAUCGAAGUAAGAAUUAUGGUAUAGUAUGACCUACUUAGAUGUAGUAAAGCCAUAGAUGCCCAUAGGGACAACUUGUCAUAAUUUUGUAUAUGUUCACAAAGUGAGGCCUAGAGAUUGGCUAAAAGCUGGAGGGAAGAGUCGCAUAGGCGCACAUACAAGGAAAAAGUCGCACAGGCUGCAUGACAGAAGGUAGCAAGUGCUAGGAGAUUGGAGGAAUUUCGACCACAGGCUGUGGUGUGAGAAGGAGGCCUAAAGGUGGGAAUGCCCUAGACUUUGGAUUUAUUCACAGAACAGUUCCCUAAAUGGCAAGGAAAGUAUUAAAAUAAUUCGUAAAAGCUAUCCGGUUAUGAGACCGAUAAGUACAUCAGUCAACAUUCGAGGACGAAUAUUCCAAAGGGGGAAAUGAUGUUACACUCCACAGUAUUACAAUGAUGUUGCACCCCGUAGUAUUGUACGUUGGAUUUGUUGUAAAUUGGUAUCAGUUCAAGGAUAAGAUUAUUUUGAGGUUAUAAGUAUUACGCUAUUUCAAACAAGUGAUAAGUAAAUUCGUGAAGGUGAGAGGGUAAGCGAAUCGAAGAAAAUGAGUUUCGUCAAAGUUUGACAAUUUGGGAUAAAAUACGGUCCAAGCUAUAAUACCCUGUAUUUAUGGACUAGUGCCAUACAAGGUACCACAUAACCAUGAUAGUAAGGUGUAUAAAGUUUGUUAAAAGUGAUUAGUAUUUUAAGUAAUUUGAGAUAAUUCUUAAUUAUGUGGAUAAUUGAUAAUUAUUGAUUUUUAGUGGGUGAGUUAACAAGGUAAUUAAUUUUGGUGGAUAAGCUUAAAGGGACAUCACCCUCAACGUUGAAGCAAGGGGACUUAAGCAUCAAUGACUCUUUGGUGUUUAUAAUUAGGUGGCAUAUUUAGAGAUUUUUGGGCAAAAUAAUCCCCAAAAAUGGGGCCCACAAACCUCAAAGAUAAGAGAUUUUCAUACAUCAUUUAAGAGGGAUGUGCAUGUUGGUUAAGUAACGGAUGUAGCCUCCAAAAUAAUUCAUAUGGAACUUCAUAAUGCUAUUGCAAUAUAAGAUUUGUGAUUCUAAGAAAGUACGGUGCAAUCUUUCUCAAGAAUACCAUACAGAUCUUUUCCUAUUUCGAUCUCGCUGUUACGUAUUUCAUCACGAUUGGCAUGUGUUAGAGGGAUUGUCAAGAAAAUCGGCUCAGGUAUGUUAAGGUUAUCUCUUCUUUCCUUUUGGUAUGAUUCGUACGAUACAAACGAAACGAGCAAACGUACAACUUUCAUAAAUACCUCUAUUCAUAAAAGCAAUAGGGGUGCCUAUGUUCUUGAUUUCCCAUGUGUCUUAUUAUAUCUUCUGUUCAUGGGUCUCGAAAAUAAAUGCGUAAUUGAUAAAGUUUAUCCGAAGACAUAUUGAUCUUAUGACAUUCUGAGAAAUCUUAUUAACUUACUUCUUAUGCAUUUUAUUCAUUUAUACUUGUGCAUUGACCCAUGACCAGAUGCCGUUAUAUACGCGUAUAUUAUAUGUAUAUGGGAUAUGGGAAAAGGUUACGGCGUUAUAUACGCAUCACUACCUGAUCAGCUGGUAUACGUUGAUGAUUUUACCCACAGUGGCCGAGAUGAUAUGAUGGGAUGCCCUUAGAGGCUUGAUAAUGUGAUGUACGCAUAUACCUAUGCAUGACAUGACAUUUAUACGCACGUGCAUGAUAUUAUAAAUGUUUCAGGAUUCACAAAGUUGUUUAGACUUACAGGUGGAAUUCUUUACUCUACGUUUCUUUUAUGUCUUUUAUGCACUGAUUUUCAUGCCUUAUAUACUCAGUACUUUAUUUGUACUGACGUCCCUUUUGCCUAGGGACGCUGCGUUUCAUGCCCGCAGGUGCCGAUAGACAACUUGAGAAUCCUCCAAGUAGGCUAUCAACUCAGUAGAAGGUGUUGUUGGUGCACUCCAUUUGCUCCAGAGUUGCCUAUUUGGUUAGUAUAAUUUGGAGAUGUAUGGAUUGGUAUGGCGGGGCCUGUCCCGACCUUUAUGACAUUUAUGUACUCUUAGAGGCUUGUAGACAGAUGUCAUAUAUAUGGAUACUUGUAUGUCCUUGUCGGCCUAUGGUGUGAGUAUACAAAUGAUCAUGUCGGCCUUAUAGGCCCGUAUGUCAUAUGUAUAAGUCGGUACAUCACGUUGGGUCAUCCUAUGUCAAGUAUUUCCCUCAUGUUUUAUUCCAGUUAUCUCACGACAGCCUUUCCGGCUCAUUUACCUAUGAUAGUAUGAUAUGACAGAUACAUUACGUUGAUACUCGAUUGAGUAAGGUACUGGUUACCCGUUGUGGCCCA